UGCCCAGACUCCUACGGGAGGCAGCAGUGAGGAAUAUUGGUCAAUGGGCGGAAGCCUGAACCAGCCAAGUCGCGUGAGGGAAUAAGGCCCUACGGGUCGUAAACCUCUUUUGCCGGGGAGCAAGGGCGGGGACGUGUCCCGGCCCGGAGAGUACCCGGAGAAAAAGCAUCGGCUAACUCCGUGCCAGCAGCCGCGGUAAUACGGAGGAUGCGAGCGUUAUCCGGAUUUAUUGGGUUUAAAGGGUGCGUAGGGGGGUUUUGAGGGGGGGGGGGAAAGCGGGGGGCCCAACCCCGCCGAGCCGUCGGAACUGGGGGCCUUGAGUGCGGCGGAGGCAUGCGGAAUGCGCGGUGUAGCGGUGAAAUGCAUAGAUAUCGCGCAGAACCCCGAUUGCGAAGGCAGCGUGCCGUGCCGCCACUGACGCUGAGGCACGAAAGCGCGGGGAUCGAACAGGAUUAGAUACCCCUGUAAGC
rnacentral:rRNA from 1 species